UACGUAGGGACCGAGCGUUGUCCGGAAUCAUUGGGCGUAAAGAGCGUGUAGGCGGCUUGUUAAGUCUUGCGUGAAAUCUCGGGGCUCAACCCCGAGCGGUCGUGAGAAACUGGCAGGCUAGAGUGCGGGGAGAGGAGAGUGGAAUUCCGUGGUGUAGCGGUGAAAUGCGCAGAUAUCAGGAAGAACACCCGUGGCGAAGGCGGCUCUCUGGAACGCAACUGACGCUGAGACGCGAAAGCGUGGGGAGCAAACAGG
rnacentral:rRNA from 1 species